UGACUGCGUACCUUUUGUAUAAUGGGUCAGCGACUUACGUUCUGUAGCAAGCUUAACCGCAUAGGGGAGGCGCAGCGAAAGCGAGUCCGAACAGGGCGCUUUAGUUGCAGGGCGUAGACCCGAAACCGGAUGAUCUAGCCAUGGCCAGGCUGAAGCGGGGGUAACACCUCGUGGAGGGCCGCACCCACGUCUGUUGAAAAAGACGGGGAUGAGCUGUGGCUAGGGGUGAAAGGCUAAACAAAUCCGGAAAUAGCUGGUUCUCUCCGAAAACUAUUUAGGUAGUGCCUCACGUAUCACUCGCGGGGGUAGAGCACUGUUAUGGCUAGGGGGGCAUGGCGCCUUACCAAACCAUUGCAAACUCCGAAUACCGUGAAGUGCGAGCGUGGGAGACAGACUCCGGGUGCUAACGUCCGGGGUCAAGAGGGAAACAACCCAGACCGCCGAUUAAGGUCCCCAAGCCAUAGUUAAGUGGGAAACGAGGUGGGAAGGCUCAGACAGCCAGGAUGUUGGCUUAGAAGCAGCCAUCAUUUAAAGAAAGCGUAAUAGCUCACUGGUCGAGUCGUCCUGCGCGGAAGAUGUAACGGGGCUCAAACUAUGUACCGAAAUCGCGGAUUUGCAGGCUCCAUUAAACACAUUCUCAACAUCAGCUUGGCGGCGCGCAGCGCCGCCAAAGCGACCAUCAAAGUCGAGUCGUGUUCGGCUCGAUAGGACGAGAGUGAUGAAAGUGCAGUGUGUUUAAUGGAGCCUGCAGGUGGUAGGAGAGCGUUCCGUAGGCCUGUGAAGGUGACUCGAGAGGGUUGCUGGAGGUAUCGGAAGUGCGAAUGCUGACAUGAGUAGCGAUAAAGCGGGUGAAAGGCCCGCUCGCCGAAAGCCCAAGGUUUCCUGCGCCACGUUCAUCGGCGCAGGGUGAGUCGGCCCCUAAGGUGAGGACGAGAGUCGUAACCGAUGGGAAGCAGGUUAAUAUUCCUGCACCGAGCACAGAUGCGAUGGGGGGACGGAGAAGGUUAAGCAAUCCGGGUGUUGGAUGUCCCGGUUUAAGCGUGUAGGCGUGGUCCUUAGGCAAAUCCGGGGAUCUUAGCUGAGGCGUGAUGACGAAGGCGGGCUUGCUCGCCAAAAGUUGCUGAUACCCUGCUUCCAAGAAAAGCCUCUAAGCUUCAGUCUGUGAUUGACCGUACCGCAAACCGACACAGGUGGGCAGGAUGAGUAUUCUAAGGCGCUUGAGAGAACUCGGGUGAAGGAACUCGGCAAAUUAGCACCGUAACUUCGGGAUAAGGUGCGCCUCAGGUAGGUGAAGCCGUACAGGUUGAGCUGAGUGAGGCCGCAGUGAAAAGGUGGCUGCGACUGUUUAACAAAAACACAGCACUCUGCUAAGACGAAAGUCGACGUAUAGGGUGUGACGCCUGCCCGGUGCCGGAAGGUUAAAUGAUGGGGUGCAAGCUCUUGAUUGAAGCCCCGGUAAACGGCGGCCGUAACUAUAACGGUCCUAAGGUAGCGAAAUUCCUUGUCGGGUAAGUUCCGACCUGCACGAAUGGCGUAACGAUGGCCACGCUGUCUCCACCCGAGACUCAGCGAAGUUGAAGUGUUUGUGAAGAUGCAAUCUCCCCGCGGCAAGACGGAAAGACCCCGUGCACCUUUACUGUAGCUUUGCAUUGGACUGUGAUGGGACCUGUGUAGGAUAGCUGGGAGGCUAUGAAGUGCUGGCGCUAGCCGGCAUGGAGCCAACCUUGAAAUACCAGCCUGGUGUCAUUGCGGUUCUAACCUAGGGCCAUUAUCUGGCUCGGGGACCGUGCAUGGUAGGCAGUUUGACUGGGGCGGUCUCCUCCCAAAGAGUAACGGAGGAGCUCGAAGGUACGCUAGGUACGGUCGGACAUCGUACUGAUAGUGCAAUGGCAUAAGCGUGCUUGACUGCGAGACUGACAAGUCGAGCAGGUGCGAAAGCAGGACAUAGUGAUCCGGUGGUUCUGUAUGGAAGGGCCAUCGCUCAACGGAUAAAAGGUACGCCGGGGAUAACAGGCUGAUACCGCCCAAGAGUUCAUAUCGACGGCGGUGUUUGGCACCUCGAUGUCGGCUCAUCACAUCCUGGGGCUGUAGCCGGUCCCAAGGGUAUGGCUGUUCGCCAUUUAAAGUGGUACGUGAGCUGGGUU
rnacentral:rRNA from 1 species